rnacentral:ncRNA from 1 species
AUAAUGAUACUUCCGUAAUUCGCGGCCGGGCCAUGAUGCAGGCGCGGGGGUGAAACUCCCAUG